rnacentral:lncRNA from 1 species
CUGGGCAACAGAGUGAAGCCCUGGCUCAAAAAAAUAAAAGCUCUACAAGGUCCUUCUCACUGCACUAGUUCUUGAUUGGGGAUAUUUGUUAUGCUACGAUAUAAUCUGACCCUCCCCAGCUGUGCUUUCUGAAAUACACCCCACAGCCUCUUGCUGAAGGACACUUUAACUUGGCAGGACUGUAUUGAAAGUGAUAUUGAACAGAUGCUGUGUCUGAAAUGGAAUCCAUACCCCAGGAAGCUGACACCAGGAGUGGUGUGGGUGAGAUGACCUGGCCCUGUUAUUGAAAUGCUUCUCUCAGGAAGUGGUGACCAUUUAGUUGACAUCUAAAGAAGCAUUUGGAAUUUACCAGAUGCAGAAGGGAGGAGAGUCCCACGAAGAAAGAAGAACAACAUAUGCAGAGGUCUUGGAGCAGGAACGAGCAUGGCCAUUCAGAGAAACUGCGCUGAUGCCUCUGUGGCUGGAGCUCCAGCUGGAGGGUGCCAUGAUGCCUUAUGAAAUGAAACUAUGAAGCAGCAUGACAACGGACUAAUAUAGGCAUCAUCACUGAACAUAGUAUCUGGAUCAAGGAUGGCAAAUACCAGGUACGUGCACUUCUAUUUCUUCAUUCAGUGGAUAGAAUAGAUGUCAUUCAUCAAAGCUGAUAUUCUUUCCCACCAACAGGUGUGAUCUUAGAAUUUUUCCUAACCCAGCACUCCAGAUACCAAUAUCAGUUAAUAUACAUGGUAUAUCUCAAAUCUAAAUGAUUCUAAGUUGUGGAGGAAUUUUCUCAAGGCCUUUUAGUUUUUGUUUUGUUUUAGUUUGUUUUAGUUUCAGGUGACUAAUAACAUAUUUUAAGUUAUGUAAAACCUCCUGACCCCAGUAAGGGAUGAUAAGUAUAGAUUAUUAUAGAAUUGUAUGGGUGAGUAAAGCAAUUUCUCCAGUGAUCACAGUACACCUGCUCUUCUGUGAUGCCUCCUACAAAAGCCAUGCUGUAGGCAACAAUGCCGCCUAAACCUUAUUCAUUAUUGGAUCUGGUAGAUAUCAAAGCCUCCUAGGCAAUUGACUCGAAUACUAUUUUUUUUCUGAAAAUGAUAGAUUGCUUAGGAAAAGCUCAAAUUUGUGUGUGUGUGUGUGUGUGUGUGUGUGUGAGAGAGAGAGAGAGAGAGAGAGAGAGAGAGAGAGACUUCAUCUGAAUUCUAUUAAGGUGUUAUGUCAUCAACUUUUCUAGAAGCCAAAAAUAGCCUAGGAUUCAUUUUUGAAUUUUGGUGGCCUAGAUCAAGAAUUGUACAGGGAGCUUCCACUGACUGCAGUCACUUAUUGAUAUGUAGGCCUGGACCAUUGGUUCUCAACCAGGGGCAAUUUUGUUCCCAAACCUCUCCUAAGGGAUAUUGUCAAUAUCUGGAGACAUUUUUGGUUGUCAAAACUGGGAAGGGAGGUGCCACUAGCACUAGUGGGUAGAGGCCAGGGACGCUUCUGAACACCCUGCACUGUACAGGACACAUCCUACAGUACAGUCAUCCAGCCUCAAAUGUCAAUAGUACAGUUUUUGAGAAAUUCUGAUUUAGAGAAUUGCUCUAGAAUGUUAGCUCACUGAGGUUGGGGAUCUGAUUUUCUUAGAGUCCAUAGCACAAUGCCUGGAAAAUAUUAAGUGCUUAUGAUUUCUUAAAUGAUUGAAUGGAAGAAUGGAUGAACAAUUCCAUUUUAGCAACUCAUGACAUUGCUUAGGAAAUAGAGUGAUUCUUACUUUAUCUUCAUAGCCUCUUUGUUUGACCAAUGAGCGUGACCACACUUAAAGCUAGUAAUGAUGAAGUUCCUAGUAUAUUGAAGAGGUAAAUAAAUACUCUUGCUUUGGCCCAAAAUAUCAAUGUUCAUUGUGGAAUUAAACAAUGACGAACUGAUGACUGAAAGAUCUAUGACAGUAUCUCUAUCAUUGGAAAUGUAAGACCUUCUCUUUAGGCCAUGUAUGGGUUCUCAUCAAUUUUUGGUUGUGAGGAUAAAUUAUUUUAAGAUGUAUUUUUCUCUCAUAUUGCUAAGUUAACUUUUGCUAUAUUAAUAAUAGUAACAACAAUAACAUAAAAAAGAUGGUCAAUCUUCCCAGUCCGUGUGGUGGAGUUGAGUCUUUGACAAAACUAUUUCCAAUUAUUUAUUAUUCAAAAUGUUAUCAAGACAGCUAAAAGAACUUGAGUAUAUAAAGCUCAAGAUACUGUCAUAAGGUCUUUAGGAUUUAAAACAUAUAUUAUGAAUCUCUGUAUUUCCAGGACUCUGCUCUGUUACAGGUGAAUUUUGUCUUAAAACUCAACUUGGGCAUAGUUGGACAUGAAUCUGUCAGGGUUUCUUUGAAAGCUAUCUCUUAGGUCUGAUCCUGUGACUUCUGUCAGUCACUGGGUAAAAACAAAGUUAAAAAAAAAAAGAAAACCUCAUGCAGGAGGAAAGAGAAUUGACAUUUGUCAAGCAACAGCAUGAUACCAGGUCUUAAAAAUAUACCUUUUUCUCAAUUAAUCCUCAUAACUAAUACAUGAAUAUGUAUUAUGUCUUUGUGUGUUUUACAGAUGUGGAGGCUGUUACUCACAGAGGUUAAUAACCUCCACCAGGAUCACUCAGAUAUAAGUGGCAGAGUUUACAUAGAACCCAGGCUUUAUUCUUAGGCUCAGCGUGAUGCCCCUAGUAACCUCAGGAUGACAUUUUCUCGGCACCCAGCCUCAGGAAAGAGAGAUUCCACUUCUCCAAUGGGUCAAACAACAGUCGUAGAACUGAGCCUUAUGGACAUCGUCUGUCUAACUUAGACCACUGUCCUUCUUGGAGCCAAUCACUGUGACUGGUGAAAUGAGUAUGCCUGAUUUUGACAAGGUUUACCAUUGGCUGGAUCAAAAAGGAAGCCAGAGGGUGAGAGUGCCUGUUAAUAUAAUCUACCAAGGUCAGAUGUAGGAGGAUGGACCAUGGAUCUGGUGGGUCAAGUGAAAGAAUUCCAGUGCAACGUACCUGGCAACUAGAAAUCACUUGUGUUCUUCAGCACUGAGAUGAGGAAAUUGAGAUUCACUGAAGGAGAAAGAUUACACUUCUUUCACUUUGGCCUGAGCUAAGAAAAAUGUGCUUCUGUUUAUUCCCCCAAGAUGACAACUUAAGUCUUUGAGUCUAUCAGUUCCAGGCAAGGGUCAAGCUCCACAGGACCAGCCAUCAGGGAAAUAACAUGACUUGUUAUUUCCAGACUACGUUCAGAACAGCUGGUCAUGCUCCCUCUCUCGGACAAUAGAACUUGAAUGAGUCUAAAGAGGCCCAGAGCUUCAAAACAAAAAGUUUACCUGUAGGAGUGAAGUUUAAGUCUCUAAGAAUAUGCCCUUCAGCCUUCUUACCUUGACUUCUGGAACUUUAUUGGUGAAAAAAAACUACGGCAUGACUCGUAAGUACAAGAUAAUUUGGUUUAAAAGCACAUUUUUAUGUAUUAUGUGCAUAGGAUAUAUCAAAUGUUUUACCCUCCAAAUU